AAACUUCGAUUCCAAUCCAUACUUUGAAGAUACGAAGCUUACAAAGACCUUUACCUUCCUUGAUGAAGGAACCAAGAUUAUUGCCACCAAAAUCAAGUGGAAAGAAGGCAUGGGCUUGCCAAAUGGAGUUGAUCAUGAGAAGAAAGGAAACAAGCGACAGUUUGCUGAAGAAAGCUUCUUUACCUGGUUUACUGAUGCUCAGCAGAAAGAUGACAUGGAUGAGAUUCAUGAUGAGGUAAACUCUAUAUGCAUGUGUUGCAUGUAUGUAGUUUGUCCUUCAUUUUUUUCUUAUU